CCUACGGGGGGCAGCAGUGAGGAAUAUUGGUCAAUGGGCUUACGCCUGAACCAGCCAAGUCGCGUGAGGGAAGACUGCCCUAUGGGUUGUAAACCUCUUUUGUCAGGGAGCAAUUGGCGCUACGUGUAGCGUUAUCGAGAGUACCUGAAGAAAAAGCAUCGGCUAACUCCGUGCCAGCAGCCGCGGUAAUACGGAGGAUGCGAGCGUUAUCCGGAUUUAUUGGGUUUAAAGGGUGCGUAGGCGGAAUGCCAAGUCAGCGGUAAAAUCGCGGGGCUCAACCUCGCUCCGCCGUUGAAACUGGCGGUCUUGAGUGGGCGAGAGGUAUGCGGAAUGCGUGGUGUAGCGGUGAAAUGCAUAGAUAUCACGCAGAACUCCGAUUGCGAAGGCAGCAGACCGGCGCCCAACUGACGCUGAAGCACGAAAGCGUGGGUAUCGAACAGGAUUAGAUACCCGUGUAGUC
rnacentral:rRNA from 1 species